AGCGAACGCUGGCGGCAGGCCUAACACAUGCAAGUCGAACGCGUGUAGCAAUACACGAGUGGCAGACGGGUGAGUAACACGUGGGAACGUGCCCUUCGGUUCGGAAUAACUCAGGGAAACUUGAGCUAAUACCGGAUACGCCCUUACGGGGAAAGAUUUAUCGCCGAUGGAUCGGCCCGCGUCUGAUUAGCUAGUUGGUGAGGUAACGGCUCACCAAGGCGACGAUCAGUAGCGGUCUGAGAGGAUGAUCAGCCACACUGGGACUGAGACACGGCCCAGACUCCUACGGGAGGCAGCAGUGGGGAAUAUUGGACAAUGGGGGAAACCCUGAUCCAGCCAUGCCGCGUGAGUGAUGAAGG
rnacentral:rRNA from 1 species